UUACGGCCAAAUCACGUUGAAACACUGCUUCUCGUGCGAUCACUGAAAUUAAGCAACGGCAAACCUGGUCAGUACUUAGAUGGGUGACCGCUUUGGAAUAUUG